rnacentral:rRNA from 1 species
AGAGUUUGAUCCUGGCUCAGAGCGAACGCUGGCGGCAGGCUUAACACAUGCAAGUCGAGCGGGCCCUUCGGGGUCAGCGGCAGACGGGUGAGUAACGCGUGGGAACGUACCUUCUGGUCUGGAAUAACCCAGGGAAACUUGGGCUAAUACCGGAUACGCCCUGACGGGGAAAGGUUUACUGCCGGAAGAUCGGCCCGCGUCUGAUUAGCUAGUUGGUAGGGUAACGGCCUACCAAGGCGACGAUCAGUAGCUGGUCUGAGAGGAUGAUCAGCCACACUGGGACUGAGACACGGCCCAGACUCCUACGGGAGGCAGCAGUGGGGAAUAUUGGACAAUGGGCGCAAGCCUGAUCCAGCCAUGCCGCGUGAGUGAUGACGGCCUUAGGGUUGUAAAGCUCUUUCGCACGCGACGAUAAUGACGGUAGCGUGAGAAGAAGCCCCGGCUAACUUCGUG